CAGCAGCCGCGGUAAUACGAAGGGUGCAAGCGUUAAUCGGAAUUACUGGGCGUAAAGCGUGCGCAGGCGGUUAUAUAAGACAGAUGUGAAAUCCCCGGGCUCAACCUGGGAACUGCAUUUGUGACUGUAUAGCUAGAGUACGGCAGAGGGGGAUGGAAUUCCGCGUGUAGCAGUGAAAUGCGUAGAUAUGCGGAGGAACACCGAUGGCGAAGGCAAUCCCCUGGGCCUGUACUGACGCUCAUGCACGAAAGCGUGGGGAGCAAACAGGAUUAGAUACCCCAGUAGUCCCUGUCUCUUAUAC
rnacentral:rRNA from 1 species